CAGCCUAAUGUUGUUUUGGAGAGGGCCACGGGGACAGCCCAGGCAGCCAUAUUUCACCCUGAGUCCGGCAUGGGUCUUUGUGCGGUGACAGCGAGUGGCAGGCGUGAGGGCUGCCUGCCUGCCUGCCAAGAGUGACAGCACCCUCCCAUCCAGAUUGUCGGUCAGGCCAGAACAGAUGAUAUCCGAGAUGAGCUGCAGUUAUUAAAAAUGUCACCACACAAUUACCUUCCUGACAGAUGACAUCACCGUGACAUCGUCAUCAUGUGUCCCACCCUGUCUGAUGCUGAAAGUCACCUUGCUUUGGACAAACAGUCCAUUUCUGUGGCAACAUU